rnacentral:rRNA from 1 species
UACAGAGGUCUCAAGCGUUGUUCGGAUUCAUUGGGCGUAAAGGGUGCGUAGGUGGCGGGGUAAGUCAGGUGUGAAAUCUCGGGGCUCAACCCCGAAACUGCACUUGAUACUGCCUUGCUCGAGUACUGGAGAGGAGAUUGGAAUUUACGGUGUAGCGGUGAAAUGCGUAGAUAUCGUAAGGAAGACCAGUGGCGAAGGCGAAUCUCUGGACAGUUACUGACACUGAGGCACGAAGGCCAGGGGAGCAAACGGG